rnacentral:rRNA from 1 species
AGAGUUUGAUCCUGGCUCAGGACGAACGCUGGCGGCGUGCCUAACACAUGCAAGUCGAGCGAGAAAGCCCCUUCGGGGGUUAGUAAAGCGGCGGACGGGUGAGUAACACGUGAGCGAUCUACCCAAGGGUGGGGGACAACUCAGGGAAACUUGAGCUAAUACCGCGUACAGCGCCGGCUUGGAAGCCUGGCGUGAAAGCUGGCCUCUACUUGUAAGCUAGCGCCUUUGGAUGAGCUCGCGGCCUAUCAGCUUGUUGGUGGGGUAAUGGCCUACCAAGGCGAUGACGGGUAGCUGGCGUGAGAGCGCGACCAGCCACACUGGGACUGAGACACGGCCCAGACUCCUACGGGAGGCAGCAGUGGGGAAUAUUGCGCAAUGGGCGAAAGCCUGACGCAGCGACGCCGCGUGGGGGAGGAAGGCCUCAGGGUUGUAAACCCCUGUCAGGUGGGACGAAACCCGUAGUGUCUAAUAGGCAUUACGACUGACGGUACCACCAGAGGAAGCUCCGGCUAACUCCGUGCCAGCAGCCGCGGUAAUACGGGGGGAGCAAGCGUUGUUCGGAAUUACUGGGCGUAAAGGGCGCGUAGGCGGCCAGGUCAGUCGCAUGUGAAAGGCCGGGGCUCAACCCCGAGCACUGCAUGCGAUACUG